GGUCAUACGACUUCACCCAUAAAAGAAACCCCUCUGAGGGUGACAGCUGGUCACAGGAGGGAGGGGGAACAUACUUUCCCAGGCCCCUUACAGUUUGACAAGACUUUGCAUGAUCCAGGAAGACAUGCAUCAAUUUCUUGGUGUGACACCAAAAGAUCAUGGAACCUUUGAUUGUCUGGGCCCCUGAGUGACUUCAUGGAUCGAAGCCCCUCACCAAUCCAUAUUGGACAUGUGUCUCUAAUGAGGGAAAAAAACCCCACAAACUUUUGCUAUAUUAAGUCAUUGAAAUUUGUUCCCAGAGCAUACCCUGAGCUACUCUUAUUAAAGUCUACUCUGGA